rnacentral:lncRNA from 1 species
GUCGGUUUCUGGAGUCUGCGGGUGGGUGUUUAGAUAGCGCCAUCCGUUGCGGCGUUUAGAGUCCACCAACAGGUGAUGUCCUAGGGCACUUGUCUUUGCCUUUCUGGCUUCCUUCGCUUAGUAUGAGGGUCUCUCGUUCCAGCCCCGCGGCGGCAGAUGGCACUCGUUCUGCCGCUUUUUCCUGGCUGUGUGCGAUGCCAUCGCAUAGAUGUCCCCGGGCCUUCGAAGUGCACUCACCUGUCAGUGGACCUUUAGGUGGCUUCCAGAUCUUGGCUCUGCCCCGCGGCGGCAGAUGGCACUCGUUCUGCCGCUUUUUCCUGGCUGUGUGCGAUGCCAUCGCAUGGAUGUCCCCGGGCCUUCGAAGUGCACUCACCUGUCAGUGGACCUUUAGGUGGCUUCCAGAUCUUGGCUCUGCCCCGCGGCGGCAGAUGGCACUCGUUCUGCCGCUUUUUCCUGGCUGUGUGCGAUGCCAUCGCAUGGAUGUCCCCGGGCCUUCGAAGUGCACUCACCUGUCAGUGGACCUUUAGGUGGCUUCCAGAUCUUGGCUCUGGUGAGUA